UCGAAUCGCAGUCCGAGUCGGCUCCAGAUAACCGCGACCAAAUCGGCUUCCCGUGCGACCAGAAGCUCGUCAGAUCGAACAUGCCGAAAUCAAUACGUCGCGGGCCACUGGACAUCGACUACAUACACGGCGCCAUCAGCAGCAAGAGGGCGGCGGACAAGGACAACGCCUCCAGCGACGCCCAGCUGGCCGGCCGGAGCUUAACACGUCGGAGACGCCGGCCGGGGAGGACGCGCCCGCCGUGGUGCAUGUUAGAGUUUAAUCUUGUCAUCGGAGUAUUUGCAUGGUUAUUUUUGUUUGCAUGUAAUAAGUGUUUGCAUCACUCACAUGAUAGAAGAUGUGUGUACGUGAGAUACGUGCAUACUGCACAGCUUGCUUGGUUCUACCUCAUGGCGAGAUGCCGAUGUGCCGUGCGGCGCGGUGGUGCGAGUGGAACCAACGGCACAAGUGAAUAUUUCAAAAGACUAAACCUGGCUGCAAGUGGAGUGUUGCGCGAAGUAACCGGACCGCAGGCCAGGCGAGGUCCAUGCUGCCGCCGAGUGAAUCGGUCCUAGCAUUAGACGUGCGUGCAUGCAUGCAUGAUGCUGCACGAUGCAUUAGUUUAGCUGCACGGUGUGAGUUGUGGCUGAGUGGGUUUGGCCGUGUUAUCUCCUUGUACGUAUGUUGAGUCUAUAUAAACAUGAAAAUGGUGUGAGCUAGUUGCUGCAUCGACCA